UAGGGAAUAUUAGAAAUGGACGAAAGUCUGAUCUAGCGACACCGCGUGUGCGAUGAAGGCCUUCGGGUUGUAAAGCACUUUUUGGAAGGAAUAGGAAGGAAGGUACUUCCAGAAUAAGUCUCGGCUAACUACGUGCCAGCAGCCGCGGUAACACGUAGGAGGCAAACGUUAUCCGGAUUUACUGGGCGUAAAGCGCGUGUAGGUGGUUCUGUAAGUAGGGCGUGAAAGCUCCCGGCUCAACUGGGAGAGGCCGUUCUAAACUGCAGAGCUAGAGGAUGGUAGAGGGAGGUGGAAUUCCAGGUGUAGCGGUGGAAUGCGCAGAUAUCUGGAGGAACACCAGUGGCGAAAGCGGCCUCCUGGACCAUUCCUGACACUCAGACGCGAAAGCUAGGGUAGCAAACGGGAUUAGAGACCCCGGUAGUCCUAGCCCUAAACGAUGUAGACUAGACGUCGGCGGUGUAAUAGCUGUCGGUGUCCAAGCUAACGCGAUAAGUCUACCGCCUGGGGACUACGGCCGCAAGGUUAAAACUUAAAUGAAAUUGACGGGGUCAUAGCUGUUUCCUG
rnacentral:rRNA from 1 species